rnacentral:rRNA from 1 species
UGGGGAAUUUUGGACAAUGGGGGAAACCCUGAUCCAGCCAUCCCGCGUGUGCGAUGAAGGCCUUCGGGUUGUAAAGCACUUUUGGCAGGAAAGAAACGUCAUAGGUUAAUACCCCGUGAAACUGACGGUACCUGCAGAAUAAGCACCGGCUAACUACGUGCCAGCAGCCGCGGUAAUACGUAGGGUGCAAGCGUUAAUCGGAAUUACUGGGCGUAAAGCGUGCGCAGGCGGUUCGGAAAGAAAGAUGUGAAAUCCCAGAGCUCAACUUUGGAACUGCAUUUUUAACUACCGGACUAGAGUGUGUCAGAGGGAGGUGGAAUGCCGCGUGUAGCAGUGAAAUGCGUAGAUAUGCGGAGGAACACCGAUGGCGAAGGCAGCCUCCUGGGAUAACACUGACGCUCAUGCACGAAAGCGUGGGGAGCAAACAGG